GAAGAACGCUGGCGGCGGGCUUAACACAUGCAAGUCGAGCGGAGCGGCGAACGGGUGAGUAACGCGUGAGUAACUGCCCCCCUCUCUGGGAUAACAGUUGGAAACGGCUGCUAAUACCGGAUAGUGGGGGAUGACUCGCGUCCUAUCAGCUUGUUGGUGGGGUAUUGGACUAACAAGGGGGCGAAGGGUAGCCGGCAUGAGAGGGCGACCGGCCAAAGUGGUCUGAGAUACGGCCCAAACGCCUACGGGAGGCAGCAGUGGUGAAUAGUGCACAAUGGUGGAAACCCUGAUUCAGCAACGCCGCGUGCGGGAUGACGGCCUUCGGGUUGUAAACCGCUUUCAGCCAUGACGCGGUAUUGGCAGAAGAAGCACCGGCUAACUACGUGCCAGCAGCCGCGGUAAUUC
rnacentral:rRNA from 1 species